UUAAGUGAAAAAAAAAAUAAAAACAUUACAACAACCGACAGGUAGGCUUGGAAGCAGCCAUCCUUUAAAGAAAGCGUAACAGCUCAUUGGUUUAGUUUUUUUAUUUUUAAAAUGUAUAAGGACUAAAACUAUUCACCGAAACUAUAAAUUAAAAUUAUAUUUUAAUGGUAGCAGAACGUUCUGUAGUCUGUAGAAGAUUUAUGGUUACAUAAGUUGGAAGAAUCAGAAGUGAAAAUGUUGAUAUAAGUAGCGAUAAACAUUGUGAAAAACAAUGUCGCCUAAAAUUGAAGGUUUACAAAGAAAGGCUAAUCCUCUUUGUUAGUAAAUCGGUCCCUAAGAUUUAAACACGAAUGUUUUGAUUAAUGGGUAAAGAGUUAUUUCUUUUAUAAAAUUUUUUUUGAAUAUAAGUGACAAAAUAUAAAUUAAAUUUUUAUUAUAUGGUUUUAAUACAAGUUUAAUAGUAUUUUCAAGAAAUAGCUUAUUAAAAAUUUUUACCGUACUUUAAACCGACACAGGUCAAUAAAUUGAGUAAAUUAAGGCGAUUAAGAUAAUUGUGUUGAAGGAACUCGCCAAAAUGAUUCCGUAACUUAUGGAGAAGGAAUAACUUUUUAGGGAAACCUAAAAAAGUUGUCACAAAAUCGAGGACAGCGACUGUUUAAUAAAAACACAGGUCUCUGCAAAUUUGUAAAAAGAUGUAUAGGGACUGACGCCUGCCCAGUGCUGUAAAACUAAAAGUUAAAGUUUUGGCUUUUAACUAUAACUCUCAGUAAACGGCGGCUGUAACUCUGACGGUCCUAAGGUAGCGAAAUUCCUUGGCAUUUAAUUGGUGUCCUGCAUGAAUGGCG
rnacentral:rRNA from 14 species